rnacentral:rRNA from 1 species
ACUGCGGAGGAUCAUUACUGAGUGGCUGUAUUCGUGCUUCUCUUCGGAGACGCGAAGCUACCCGACCUGAUGUCAUUUUAUCCGAGGGCGCGCCCGCUUGAGAAGACAGCGGUUUGACGUUGUGGUGUUACCCGGACGAGGCGCUUGUCUCGUAAGGGGAAGCUUCCGGGUCGGGCCGUGGCGCGUUCCUUGGCACAACUUUCCGCGGAAGUGGUAGGCGUUGACUUGCCCGCCGCGGGCCAUACUUUUCACAACUCUCGAAGAAAACCUGAAGUCUGAAUACCAAAACAAAAACGAAAAGCAAAACUUUCAACAACGGAUCUCUUGGCUCUGGCAACGAUGAAGAACGCAGCGAAACGCGAAAGGUAAUGCGAAUUGCAGAAUCAGUGAGUCAUCGAAUCUUUGAACGCACAUUGCGCCUCUCGGUAUUCCGGGAGGCACGCCUGUUCGAGCGCCAUUACAAACUCCAAGCGUGGCUUGAUGUUGGGCGAUGUCUUUUUGCGAGAGCGGGAGACACGCCUGGAACGCGUUGGCGCCGCCGCCGGACCACGAGCGUAGCAAGACGAGAGUCAAUCGCAUCGAUUUGGUUUCCGACGGAGGUCCGCCUUGUGACUGCACUUUCGAGUGUAGUUGAAAAACUUCUCAAGUUUGGCCUCGGAUCAUGCGGGGAUACCCGCUGAACUUAAGCAUAUCAUA